rnacentral:rRNA from 1 species
GACGAACGCUGGCGGCGUGCUUAACACAUGCAAGUCGAACGGAAAGGCCCCUUCGGGGGUACUCGAGUGGCGCACGGGUGAGUAACACGUGAGUAACCUGCCCUUGACUUCGGGAUAACUUCAGGAAACUGGGGCUAAUACCGGAUAGGAAUCCUUGCUGCAUGGUGGGGGUUGGAAAGCUUCGGCGGUUUUGGAUGGACUCGCGGCUCAUCAGCUUGUUGGUGGGGUAGUGGCUUACCAAGGCUUUGACGGGUAGCCGGCCUGAGAGGGCGACCGGCCACAUUGGGACUGAGAUACGGCCCAGACUCCUACGGGAGGCAGCAGUGGGGAAUAUUGCACAAUGGGCGGAAGCCUGAUGCAGCAACGCCGCGUGCGGGAGGACGGCCUUCGGGUUGUAAACCGCUUUCAGCAGGGGCGAAGCUUGUGGUGACGGUACCUGCAGAAGAAGCACCGGCUAACUACGUG